CAGAAAAAUAUUCACUUAAAAUUCUAUCUGUAUUAGUUAGGGUAUGAACCAAUCUUUUGUAACAAAAGAUCCCUAAAUACAGUAGCUCAAAUAAGAUAUCUGCUCAGAGUACUGCCCUCAUCUGCAUGGUUGAAGCUGGCUCACUGCCACAAUGGUCAAGGUCCAGCCCAAGGAUAAUGGAACGAAAUAGAGGGAUCUGCACACCCAAUUUGUUUAAAGGCCCUGGAGCAACCACCCAAGCUAUUCAUCCCUGCCCCUGAAUCCAUGUAUAUUCUAACGUUGGGCUAUUUCUCCUGCUGCACAAAGUGGAGGACCAGGUGCACCUCCCAAGGCUCUGCCCAUUGGAAGGAUAUUCUCUGAUCACUUCUCUUUCAAGGCCACCCAAGUGGGGGAAGGGUUCAACCACAAUACCAAACUGACUCAUCAUGAACCAAAUGUGGGCUUUUUUUCCUUUGCUAGCUGAUCAUAAGAGAUCAACCACGGUAGUACGAGCUGAAGAAGAGGCACCUGGACAGUAGUAGUGAAUGACAUGGAGUCCAGGGUACCUACUCACGCAGCUUGUUUGUACCCUCUGUUCCUGCUUGUGUUCAGUCCUGAAUGCACCACUUGCACAUUAUGAUGGAUUGUUGCUAAACUUGUCCAACCUUAUAACAUGGUUGAUCCGACGGAAACCAGUCCACAAAAGACAGUUGUGGCUACAGUACCACUUGGUACCUCAGUGCUUGGUUCUUCAUCUCUCUCAGGGAUCUGCAGCAUGCCAGGAGCUGUUUUUCAAAAGGUGUAUCACUUUCUGCUGCAUAUUCUGCCAUGCUCCAGAACUCCACAAGUCUGCAUUGUGAGUCUUUCAUCGGAACUUGCCAUAAACUCCACAUAUCCUUAUAGUCCAUAUCAUGUCUUUUCCCACCACUGAUAUCUCUAAUACUCAAAUGUAUGGCAUUAUAUGCUAUGUACAGUAAAGUCAACUACAAUUUUUCCGAGUUUUAGCUGGUAUCAUAUCUUAAACACAAAUAUAUCAUUUUUCUUUUUCUUGACUCUAAACUUUUUUAUUCAAUCUCUUUGUUCAAAUUUUUCCAUAAUUAAUCUAAUUUAUGGGCUAGUGGAGGAGGUUAAAAAGAGGAUAGAAUCAUUAAAGAAAAAGGGCUCCAGAAGAUUAGAAGAGGGAGAAUUUACUUUCCUU
rnacentral:lncRNA from 1 species